CCUGCCGGCAAUCAUAUGCUAGUUUUAAAGAUUAAGCCAUGCAUGUUUAAAUUUAGGGUUCUAAUCUGAAAUUGCGGACGGCUCAUUAAAUCGGAGAAAAGAUAACCAAAACGAGCAUAUCAAUAUGGAUAUCUCGGGUAAUUCUAGAGUUAAUACAUGUCCCUUUCGGGGGAUGCUUGGGGGUUUCAAGUUUGGUCUGGUGGAGCAAUCCAUCUAUUAAAAUUAAAUGAGAUGUCCCCCUAGCGUACCGGUCUCUGACCGGGAUUUUGGUUUCUUUUCUGGGUGACGGGGAACAAGGGUUUGGUUCCGGAGAGGGUGCCUGAGAGAUGGCAACUACUUCCAAGGAAGGCAGCAGGCGCGCAAAUUACCCAAUCUCAACUAGAGGAGGUAGUGACAAAACAUAACGAUGGAGCCCUUUUAUGGGUUCUAAUUGGAAUGAGAAAAAUACAAAACUUUUAACGAGUAACGAUUAGAGGGAAAGUCUGGUGCCAGCAGCCGCGGUAAUUCCAGCUCUAAUAGCGUAUAUUAAAGUUGUUGCAGUUAAAAAGCUCGUAGCCAAAAUUAUUUGGGUUUGCCCUAGAAGGAAUUUUUCUGACUAGGGUAAGCUUAAAUAAGUAACGAUACGUGUAAUACACUUAAUUGGGUGUUACAAGGUACUCGUUAAUUUUUACCUUGAAAAAAUACAGCCGUUUAAAAGAGGCAUUAUGCCAAAAGACCAAAGCAAGGGAUAAUAGAAUAUGGUCUCUAUACUCUCAGACCAAGGGUAUAGGGACAAUGAUUAAUAGGGGCAAUCGGGGGUGUUCAUAUAAGAGGGGGAGAGGUGAAAUUCUUGGAUCCUUCUUAGAUGUCCUAGUGCGAAGGCAUUCAUCAAGGGUGUCUUCAUUAGUCAAGAACGAAAGUUAGGGGAUCGAAGACGAUCAGAUACCGUCGUAGUCCUAUCUAUAAACAAUACCGACCAGGGAUUAGGGAACGUUUUUUUAUGACUUCCUCAGCACCUAAAAAGAAAUUAGAGUCUUUGGGUUCCGGGGGGAGUAUGGUCGCAAGGCUGAAACUUAAAGGAAUUGACGGAAGGGCACCACCAGG
rnacentral:rRNA from 1 species